rnacentral:rRNA from 1 species
UUAAGGACGUCACGUUGUCCUUGUAACGGGGAUCCAGCAGGCUGGCCACCCAGUAAUCAGCACAAGUUAGAAUGUGAGCAACUCGGCAGUUGUUGAGCAGGCACUUUGGUGACUCUAGAUAACCUCGGGCCGAUCGCACGUCCCCGUGACGGCGAUGACACAUUCGGAUGUCUGCCCUAUCAUUUUUUGAUGGUACUUUCUGAGACUACCAUGGUGACCACGGGUACCAGGGAAUCAGGGUUCAAUUCCGGAGAGGAAGCCUGAGAAAUUGCUACCACAUCCAAGUAAGGCAGCAGACGCGCAAAUUACCCACUCCGUGGGGAGGUAGUGACAA